rnacentral:rRNA from 1 species
UACGUAGGGUGCAAGCGUUGUCCGGAAUUAUUGGGCGUAAAGGGCUCGUAGGCGGUUUGUCACGUCGGGAGUGAAAACUCGGGGCUUAACCCCGAGCCUGCUUCCGAUACGGGCAGACUAGAGGUAUGCAGGGGAGAACGGAAUUCCUGGUGUAGCGGUGAAAUGCGCAGAUAUCAGGAAGAACACCCGUGGCGAAGGCGGCUCUCUGGGACGGUACUGACGCUGAGACGCGAAAGCGUGGGGAGCGAACAGG